rnacentral:rRNA from 1 species
UACGUAGGGUGCAAGCGUUGUCCGGAAUUAUUGGGCGUAAAGAGCUCGUAGGCGGUUUGUUGCGUCGGCUGUGAAAUCCCGAGGCUCAACCUCGGGUCUGCAGUCGAUACGAGCAAACUAGAGUGUUGCAGGGGAGACUGGAAUUCCUGGUGUAGCGGUGAAAUGCGCAGAUAUCAGGAGGAACACCGGUGGCGAAGGCGACUACCUGGCCUGUUCUUGACGCUGAGGCGCGAAAGCUAGGGGGAGCAAACGGG